GGCUCUUCAGUGCCACCUGGAAUGUCCUGCAUAGCAAUCACCCCCUCUUCUCCAUACACAGUGGGUGUUACAUAUGAAUUCUUGUGCUUAUUGGUGUUUUAUUGGAUCCUCAUGGUGCAACAUGGUGUUUGACAGGACUACUAAAGUUGACUGGGGAGGGAUCGAACUCAGGUCCUUGAGGUUUCGAGGCAGGAGGCGGAACCACUGAGCUAAAUCCCCGGCCCAAGAGGAGUAAUUUUAAUAUGGACAUAUAUUUUGAGAAAUAGUAUUUACGUUUCCAUUUAAAAAUAUUGCCUUGCUUCUAGCUCUUAAUUGAAUUAUAUUUCUGCCUAAAAACCCUAGGUGGGAUGAUUAAUUAGAAAGCCCAGGCAGGGAAAUGUCACUCUGUAAAUACAAUGAGCCUGUGGGAAGUGUGUGUGUGUGUGUGCGUGCGCCUGUGUGUGAGAUGGGGGGUCAG
rnacentral:lncRNA from 1 species